rnacentral:rRNA from 1 species
GACAGAGGAUGCAAGCGUUAUCCGGAAUGAUUGGGCGUAAAGCGUCUGUAGGUGGCUUUUUAAGUCCGCCGUCAAAUCCCAGGGCUCAACCCUGGACAGGCGGUGGAAACUACCAAGCUGGAGUACGGUAGGGGCAGAGGGAAUUUCCGGUGGAGCGGUGAAAUGCGUAGAGAUCGGGAGGAACACCAGCGGCGAAAGCGGCGACCUGGACAGGUACUGACACUCAAUCG